CUUAAAUGGACUUGGGAAGAUGUGCAGACCACAGAACAAAACAGUAAACUCACAACAAAAUUGUCAAUAUGCGUUCUGAGAUUAAUCACGAGCAUGAAGCUAAUGCCAAAGACGAAUGGCCGUCGAUUGAGAAGCCAACAGCACCAGCAGAGUCAGAGGGAUGCAAUGGUCCAGCCGAUCUCCAAUCUGAUUAGAGUGGAUCAGCAUCUGAGCGACCGGUUAGAAUAUAUAUAUAUAUAUAUAUAUAUAUAUAUACAUUUAGCAGAGAGAAUCUUGGAGUUGAUCAUGUGCAACAUUACAUGACUCGGUUGCUGGUAGAAAUGUCCAAGAAGAUGAAUGGAGUUUCAUAUACAUAUCAGAAGCAGAACCAUCCUGUAGAGCACCACAAAGAUGAAGAUGAGGUUUCGAGUUUCAACAACUAACCGUAGAUAGUCAUGAUCAAGAAGCGUCGCAUGAAGAGGAUUAGACCUGCUGUUAUCAUUUGCUUAUCCAUACAGAAGAAUGUUCGCCAAUUAAGUUUUGGAUCAAGGCAGCCUUUAAGCAAAAAGGCAGAAGAGAAUCCUGAUGUAGCUCAACAGAUGGAACAUUCAGAUGCUUGAAAUACUGAGUUCUAUGGAGAUUAACAACGUCUUGGAAGUACAGCUAAUGGAUAUAUGGACCACGCAGCUGCUGCUGGAAAUUAUGAUGAUGAUUCUUUGGAAUCUAGGCGAGAGGUUCUGAAGCAAGAAAACCCCGAGACCGUUCAGGAGCACCAGUACACAUUUUCUCGAUACUGCAUAUGAUUCUUCACAGACAAAUGCACAGAAUCUUGCUUCAUUAUCGAAUGUGAUGGUAAGCUACAUGUGCAUUUAUUUUAUGAUAUCUGUUAAGGGAACCUUGUUUUGCUUUCUAAAUACUACAUUCAUGAAGAUGUGCUUAGUUCUCAGUACAAAGAGAGUAAUCAUCUGUUGGCACUUCAGCAGCAGCAGCAGCAGAACCAAAACUCGGCAAUGUGGCAUCACGGUGAUGGCUCUCGAACCAUGUCUGGUGUUCCGGCUAACACAUACUACAACCUCCAAGCACAGCAACAACAACAUUUACAACAGACUCAGCAAGCAACAACAUCAUUAUGGUAAUUACUAUCAGUCUCAAACAGAAAUGUUCGUUGAUCGUCAGCAGCAAAACAUGAAGAAAGUGAGUGUUUUUUUUUAUCAGCUUCUUUCGGUUAUAGAGAGGUUUGUGUGGCGAGGGAGGUUGAAGAGGAAAUGAAUAUGUACCGAAUGUAUUUAUUACAAUCAUCUUUUUUGUCUCCUCUGUUAACUUAGGAAACACGCAAUUCCAGUUUCAUCAAUGCAAUGCAACAAAAAGAAAAGGAAACAAUUUCUUAAUCUGCCUUUUCUUUUCU